rnacentral:lncRNA from 1 species
AUAACUACCUGCCAGUGUCUCUUAGGAGUGAGGUACCUGGAGUUCGGGGACCCCAACCUGUGACAAUGACAGCAGACAAAUUGGUUUUCUUUGUGAAUGGCAGAAAGGUGGUGGAGAAAAAUGCAGAUCCAGAGACAACCCUUUUGGCCUACCUGAGAAGAAAGUAAAGGUCUCCAGGCUGGAAGAAGACCUUGCUAGACUUUGUACUGCCACCAUUCAUCUUCAGGUGCCACCAUUCGUCUUCAGGUGCCCCCAAAGUUGUUUGACCUGCUGAGAGCUGCAUAUAUCCUGACUAGGACACAGAAAACCUUCCCAGGUGUGCUGGGGAGGAAGGAGCGUGAUGAAGGGAGCUCACCCAGUCUGGAGUCCGAUGGCUGUGAUGGGGCCACA